rnacentral:rRNA from 1 species
AUUGAACGCUGGCGGCAGGCCUAACACAUGCAAGUCGAGCGGAGCGACGGACGGGUGAGUCAUGCCUAGGAAUCUGACUGGUAGUGGGGGAUAACGUACGGAAACGGGCGCUAAUAACGCAUACUAGCAGAUGAGCCUAGGUCGGAUAAGCUAGUUGGUGGGGUAAAGGCCUACCAAGGCUACGAUCCGUACCUGGUCUGAGAGGAUGAUCAGUCACACUGUAACUGUGACACGGUCCAGACUCCUACGGUAGGCAGCAGUGGGGAAUAGUGGACAAUGGGCGAAAGCCGGAGCCAGCCAGGCCGCGUGUGUGAAGAAGGUCUUCGGAUUGUAAAGUACUUUAAGUUGGGAGGCGUGACCAACAGAAUAAGCACCGGCUAACUUCGGGCCAGCAGCCGCGGUAAUAC